ACCAGACUCCUACGGGAGGCAGCAGUGGGGGAUAUUGCACAAUGGGGGGAACCCUGAUGCAGCGACGCCGCGUGGGUGAAGAAGCGCCUCGGCGCGUAAAGCCCUGUCAGCAGGGAAGAAAAUGACGGUACCUGAAGAAGAAGCCCCGGCUAACUACGUGCCAGCAGCCGCGGUAAUACGUAGGGGGCAAGCGUUAUCCGGAUUUACUGGGUGUAAAGGGGGCGCAGACGGCGAUGCAAGCCAGGAGUGAAAGCCCGGGGCCCAACCCCGGGACUGCUCUUGGAACUGCGUGGCUGGAGUGCAGGAGGGGCAGGCGGAAUUCCUGGUGUAGCGGUGAAAUGCGUAGAUAUCAGGAGGAACACCGGUGGCGAAGGCGGCCUGCUGGACUGCAACUGACGUUGAGGCCCGAAAGCGUGGGGAGCAAACAGGAUUAGAUACCCUAGUAGU
rnacentral:rRNA from 1 species